GGGAUUUCUUUCUACCAGAGGUCUGAGUUUUUAAGAUUGCCCAAACACUCAUAGGUUAUAAAAAGUCAUUCUCAUUUCUGUGUUUGUGAAAGCCAUUUCAGUCUGUGCUGUUUCUCAUUUGUAGCAUUUUCUCUUUUUCAUUUUCUGUUCCAAUUGUUUUAACCUAUUCAGUUCUUCUUAUAAAUUAUUCCUUCUCCAAAUAUGGGAUUCUGUUUCUAGAUAGAAUAUUUACUGAAGAUACUGGAGUUCAUAGAAAUAAUAGGACUGCCGAUCUAGGAAAACCCUCAUACGAUAACAUUAAUUUCCUUGGCUUGUCCCUCUCUCCACCAUGAUCCCAACAGGUUCCACAGCAGAUUGGUAAGAGGUCCACAGCUUCAUUGCCUUUCCCAUAGCCAUGGUCCACUCUCUGGAGUUUGCAAAGGAGGCCUGAGGGUUCCAUGGACUACUGGAUUUCAGCAAGAUCUCCCAGUCCUGUGUGUUUGAUGAGUCUACCUCACUAAGACAAGCUUAAGGGAAGGAAGCCCAGAGACCUCACUUUUUUCUGGAUGCAGAUGAUUAAGAGAAACCACUAGAAGGAGAAGCCUGACUUUGUGAAUCACAGGAAGGAUGUCCAUAGAACACCCAAUUGAAACAUGCACUUCCUUCAGUGCAGUUGGUGGUCUUGUUACAGACAGAAGAGCCCACUCAGCAUAUCCAGUGUUAGAUAUUUCCAACUUCUAACCUUGCAUCUGGGAGAGAUUGAGGAUGAAUGCCCUGAGAGCUCUGAGUGUCACAGGAUGAAGCUCACACUCAUUAUCAGAGAGCUGAAUUCUAAAUCAGAGACUGCGGAGGAGAGAUGUGCAACCUGAAUAAAACAUUUCCAGAAGAGCCUGAAUAAUGGUCCUGAAUAAAGGGAACUGAAAUGUUCUUGAAUUAUAAUUGGGAAAAUUUUAAGUGUGUGUACUCAGGAACACAUGUACUAAGAAGAGGGCAUUCAGAAAUUAGCAAACACAUUUGUUGGGUUGAUACAAGUUUACUGAGAAAUUGGAGAAGGAAGUAAAGAUGGAAAGAUGAGGAAGACUAAAGAUUAGGGUCAAUCUCUGACUCCAACAGCUUUAUGCUCCACAGAUGAUCCAGAAGACUUGGUGAAAUGGUGGAGCGCAAGGGGGAAAAAGCCUUGGUCUCUUAACCACAGUGUGGAAGCUCAUCUACGGACAUGAGACAGAGACAGCGAGAGCAGGAACACAAGCAGAGGGAGUAGGAGAGGGAGAAGUAGGCUUCUCGCAGAGCGGGGAGCCCGAUGCAGGGCUCGAUCCGAGGACCCUGGGAUCAUGACCUGAGCCGAAGGCAGAUGCUAACGACUGAGCCACUCAGGUACAGUGGAAGUCCAGGUUAUUUCAGAGUCAACUUCACCAGUGAAUGAAAGAGAAAGAACAAAGGAGAGAGGGAAACAGUGAAUGGGAGGAUUCAACUUUCCUGCUACCUUUAAAUGUGAAUUGCUACAGCCAAUGAUAUGUGAGAAGUGAAGCAUACCAUGUUUAAACAGUAAGUUUGAAGUGCUUGGGUACUUAACAAUGUUUCCUGUUCUUUCCUCGUGCAGUACUGAGCUGUGUAUUCUAGAUAGUGACUACUGUGUCAGCAUUAGGACCAGACUUAGAACAUGAUGACAUAAAGCAGAGCCCUUGCUUGUCUGAAAUGGACAUGAACAUGUCUGAAAAAUUAAUCUUUUUAAAUUGUGUUUAAUUGCUUGAGCUUUUUGAAGUUAUUUAUUUAUUACUGCAGGAUAACUUUAGCAUACCCUGAGUGAAGCAAAAAUUAAAAUAU